rnacentral:rRNA from 1 species
GGUGGGAUUACCCGCUGAACUUAAGCAUAUCAAUAAGCGGAGGAAAAGAAACUAACAAGGAUUCCCCUAGUAACGGCGAGUGAAGAGGGAAAAGCCCAAAUUUGUAAUCUGGCUCUUUCAGAGUCCGAGUUGUAAUUUUAAGAACUGUUUUCCGUGCUGGACCAUGUACAAGUCUGUUGAAAAACAGCAUCAUUGAGGGUGAAAAUCCCGUACAUGAUAUGGACUACCAGUGCAAUGUGAUACAGUCUCUAAGAGUCGAGUUGUUUGGGAAUGCAGCUCAAAGUGGGUGGUAAAUUCCAUCUAAGGCUAAAUAUAGGUGAGAGACCGAUAGCAAACAAGUACCGUGAGGGAAAGAUGAAAAGAACUUUGGAAAGAGAGUUAACAGUACGUGAAAUUGUUAAAAGGGAAACAUUUGAAGUUAGACUUGUUAUUGUUGGUUCAACUUCUUUAUUGAGGUGUAUUCCAAUGGUUAACAGACCAGCAUCAAUUUUUGGGUGUUGGAUAAGGGUUUAGGAAAUGUAGCAACCUUGGUUGUGUUAUAGUCCUUUACUUUGAUACAAUGCUUAGGAUUGAGGAACGCAGUAAGCUUUGUAGCAGAUU